rnacentral:rRNA from 1 species
UACAGAGGUCUCAACCGUUGGUCGGAUUCAUUGGGCGUAAAGGGUGCGUAGGCGGUCGGGUAAGUCGGAUGUGAAAUCUCAGGGCUCAACCCUAAAACUGCAUUCGAUACUGCCUGGCUAGGGUACUGGAGAGGAGACUGGAAUUUACGGUGUAGCAGUGAAAUGCGUAGAUAUCGAGAGGAACACCUGCGGCGAAGGCGGGUUGCUGGGCUGAUACUGACGCUGAGGUGCGAAAGCGUGGGGAGCAAACAGG